rnacentral:piRNA from 1 species
UGACAACUCAGUCUCAUAUUUUGUGCCUA